rnacentral:snRNA from 1 species
UCAACUAGCCCCGAAAAUGGA